UUCCGGCUGAUCCUGCCGGAGGCUACCGCUAUUGGAGUUCGAUUAAGCCAUGCGAGUCGCGAGUCUUAGGGACUCGGCGUACCGCUCAGUAACACGUGGGUAACCUGCCCUAUGCUGGGGGAUAACCUCGGGAAACUGAGAAUAAUACCCCAUAGUUCACCACGCCUGGAACGGUGGGUGGAUGAAAGCUCCGGCGGCAUAGGAUGGGCCUGCGGCGUAUCAGGUUGUAGGGGGUGUAAUGUACCCUCUAGCCCUCUACGCGUACGGGUGUUGAGAGACAUCGCCCGGAGAUGGAUUCUGAGACACGAAUCCAGACCCUACGGGGUGCAGCAGGCGCGAAAACUUGGCAAUGCGAGAAAUCGUGACCAGGGAACUCCAAGUGCAUCGGGUAAGACCGAUGCUUUUCUUGACUCUUCAAAGGUCUUGGAAUAAGGGGUGGGUAAGGACGGUGCCAGCCGCCGCGGUAAUACCGGCGCCUCAAGUGGUAGUCGCUUUUAUUGGGCCUAAAACGUCCGUAGCCGGUUUGGUACAUUCGUGGGUAAAUCAAGGCGCUCAACGGGUUGAAUUCUGCGAGCACGGCCAGACUUGGGACCGGGAGAGGUGUGGGGUACUCUCAGGGUAGGGGUAAAAUCCUGUCAUCCUGAGAGGACCACCUGUUGCGAAGGCGCCACACUAGAACGGAUCCGACGGUCAGGGACGAAGCCUAGGGGCACGAACCGGAUUAGAUACCCGGGUAGUCCUAGGUGUAAACGCUGUGGACUUGAUGUUGGGGGUGCUCCGAGCGCCCUCAGUGUCGAAGCGAAGGUGAUAAGUCCACUGCCUGGGGAGUACGGUCGCAAGGCUGAAACUUAAAGGAAUUGGCGGGGGAGCACCGCAACCUGAGGAUUGUGCGGUUUAAUUGGAUUCAACGCCGG
rnacentral:rRNA from 1 species